UUUAUUAGUUUGAUCCUGGCUCAGGACGAACGCUGGCGGCGUGCCUAAUACAUGCAAGUCGAACGAACGGAGGAAGAGCUUGCUCUUCCAAAGUUAGUGGCGGACGGGUGAGUAACACGUGGGCAACCUGCCUGUAAGUUGGGGAUAACUCCGGGAAACCGGGGCUAAUACCGAAUGAUAAAGUGUGGCGCAUGCCACGCUUUUGAAAGAUGGUUUCGGCUAUCGCUUACAGAUGGGCCCGCGGUGCAUUAGCUAGUUGGUAGGGUAAUGGCCUACCAAGGCAACGAUGCAUAGCCGACCUGAGAGGGUGAUCGGCCACACUGGGACUGAGACACGGCCCAGACUCCUACGGGAGGCAGCAGUAGGGAAUCUUCCGCAAUGGACGAAAGUCUGACGGAGCAACGCCGCGUGUAUGAAGAAGGUUUUCGGAUCGUAAAGUACUGUUGUUAGAGAAGAACAAGGAUAAGAGUAACUGCUUGUCCCUUGACGGUWUYWGCCC
rnacentral:rRNA from 1 species